rnacentral:lncRNA from 1 species
GUGAGUUACAUAGUGUCGAUUUUUCUUCAUUGGAAUCAGAUGUAUGACUUUGCACGCCCUCCAGCCCCUUUUGCAAAGCAUGUUAGUCUUCUAGCACCCAAAAGUGAUCUUGGUAAUUACAUAAUCUCUGCAAGACUUUCUGGAUAUAUCAUAAUACAUUUGUGAAAGAGAGAGAGAAAAGUGCUAUUUUAACCAACAGUUGAGCAACAAUUAAAGAAUUACUCAAGAAUCAAGAGUAACGUGCUAUGGUGAGUUUUGAGAGAGAAAAUGGUUUGUCAGAAUUAUCUGAUCCUGUCAGGACCCUGCAAGUUCUGCAAAUGGGAGGAGGUGACUCCACCAGAACGGGGAGGCCUGUGAAUUUUGAAACUGCAGAAUUUGUUCCAAAUUGGAAAGAGAAAACCAGAGAGGCAGCAGAUAUCCACAGGGGUGUCCUUGCAUCUCUGCAGUAAGGGAUACCAUACAACUGAGGAGAAGAAAAGCAGGAACAAUAGCCAACAAUGGUGCAAAUUAAACUGGCAAUAGAACAGGAAGAAAAGACAGCCUUCAGAGUGGCUUGGACCGCAGAGUGAAUUUUCAGCUGGAAAGUUAAAGAGAUCUCCUGUGGAAUACUUCCCACCCCAGCUACGGAAAGCCAGG